UUAAUGAGUUCUGUGACCAAAGCUUACAGGGCGAUUUACACUAAUAAGAGCAAGUGCUUUAGGGGAGGGAGUGUUUCCAUUGGCAGAGUGCAAAACUGUGCUUUCAAUUCUCUUGUUUCUUGCAGCUAAUUUACCUUUAUUUUGGGAGUGUUGAGGAGCAGUGUGCAUGUAAGUGGGAAGGAGCAAGAGAUGAAAACAAGGAAACAUGACAUUGCGGUAAUUAGCUUUCUGCUGCUCGGCAACAACUAAAUACUACCUGGGAGCAACAGGAGCAAGACUGAAAGGAAAAGCAGAACAUGGAGUACAAGGACUGGUGCUGCCCCUGCUGAAAUGCCUUUCUAAUUAGGACCCAGCUGCCACACCGGGCACUCAAGGUGACAACAGAGAAUGAAUUUGAAGCUCUUGAAUCCGGCAGUUCCUGCAGAAGCCACUUAAAAAUGUUUCCACUCAUUCACUGGGUGCUGAACACUUCAGAAAAUCAGAUUGUGAAGCUACAAUCAAAUUCACUUGACUUAUGCUAUUUCCAGCUCUUAUGGAGGUCAACAACAAUUGUAUUUCCUGCAUUAGCAUGAAAAUUUCUUUCCUUGCAGCACCCCUGGAGAGCAGAUGGAGGACUGAGCACUGAUGGAAAGGAAGAAGCAAAGAGGAGCACUGAACGCAGGAAUGUUUUGCUGCCAGAGCAGGAGUAUAUUUGAUAACAGAUGGUAAAACCGCAAAACUGUCUCUGCUUCAUUAGCGCCCCUGGCAUGUUUUCCUAUAUAGGGGCUGCACAGAGAUCCCUAAAUCAUUGCACAUGGCUCACCCUGGAGUCCAGUGCAUGAGGACAACAUAUGGUUACUUCCUACCAGGAACUGCCUUCCAACAGUGUCAGAAACUCGUCCUUCAAAAGUCACCCACUGAGGAAAGCAGAUUCUUCUGCAGGAUGUGAAGAGGAGACAUAAGGGAAGCAUGAGUGAGAGUUUUACUUUUCCUCUUACAGAUCAAAGCAGUACAGCAUAUGCCAGGAUUGCAAGUCAAACUGUUGAGGACAUUCCACAGGACCCUAACCAGCUUUUAUUUAAAAACAGUAAAAAUGUUGAUUUGGAAGGACUACAGAAGCUUCCCUGAGAGUUCAUGAUGAAGCUUAAUUGUCUAAUUUGAAUGUGAGCAGCAGCACAGAAUCUCAGCUGAAAGCUCCUCGUUCCUAAACACUGAGUAACCCAAGGAAUGUGAAUUAACACAAACACAACCUUAUCCUGCUGUGGAGGAGGAGGAGGAAGGGGAAUAAAUAUGUUAGAUACCUGCAGGCCAAGCUCCCCAGGAAGUCAGUGGGAGCUUUACUAGAGGAAGAACAGCAUGACCAGACAUAAGCAUAAAGGAGAGAGGAUGCCAAGAAAAUAUUUUCCAGGCUUGCAUGUACUGACAGACCUAUGAAGUCUACUAAGUGCAGAGGGCAGGAAUUCUACUACAGUGUGACUCUGCUGCUUUAGCAUAGCUUUCUGGCUGACUCUAUUUCCCUCUUUGUGCCUAAUUAGAAAAAAUAAAUUUACAAAAUUGUCUGAUGAUGCAAAAAAGACAAUUCUAAUGAGCUUCAAAGAAACAUCAGUUUAGGUGUGUGCAGUGAUAUUUAGCUGUCUAGACAGAUGCUUUUGACAAUCUUUCUGGAUCCCUGAUCUUUCCCAUCACCUUUUCAUUACUCUGUUCAGAUCUCCAGUCACCAGACUUUGCUUCUGAUAUCCAAAUGUGGAUUCUUUAGGUUAAGGAGAAGUGUAAUACCUGUUCAUCUUACUAAGACAGGUGCCUAAGGCAGUUUGUCAUUUGAAACAAACUAUCUUUUCUUAUUACAAAUAGAGAAUAUGAUGCAAUUUUUGAAGUGUUUCCUCUUUUUAGAAAGAACUACAUUAUUAAGAAAUUAGUGUGAAAAACCUUGAAAUCAACUCAAAUCAGCCACUAUUGUUUUAACAAGUAACUGUUGACUGUAUUGCACCUAAAGACAAAUGAUUAGUGACUAGGAGCUUUGCUUAAUCAAAGUAAGUUAAGAAAUAAACAAAAUUUGCAGAGUUAGCUGAUUUUGCCUGACAUACACAAAUGCACUUCCAGUCUUUCCUGGCUGUCUACAACGAGAUCAGAAGUAAUUUAGUAUGAGUCAGGUGGAGGUGAAGCAAAACAUCAAAUGUACUUGUAUUUGCAAGCAGUGUCCAUCAAAAUCCUCCAAGAAUGGCUGGAUUUGAGUAAAUGCUGAGCUUUUCAUAGACCGUUCCUAAACAUCCACUGAUCUAGCAUACCAGAUGCAGUCCAGAGAAUCUUGCUUUAUACAGAUAUGCAGAUUUUCAUUUAAUCUUAAUAUUCAGAGACUGUAUUCCUUUUACUUGCCCAAGUGUAACACUUACAAUGGUUAUGUAAACUGAUGCUUACACUGAGAUGCUAUUUUGACAUGCAUUUUGGUGCUAUAUGUAAACAUCAAAGGCAUAUAAUAACCACCCUUAGUACAGAUCCCAGUUCCAUUUAGGAUGAGAAAAUUUUGUGAUUUUUUCUUUGACAAAAUGGUAAUGUGAAUUUAGAUUUCUGCACAACUCAAUUACCAUUUGUAACUGAAAGCAGCGCACUCAGAAGUGAGGUAACAGUGGAUUUGUUGCCUGACUCUACCAAUGAUUGCCUUAAUAUACCAUUCACCUGUUAAUGAUGUUACCAAUUAUUUUACUAUAAAUUAGCUAUUGUGAGCUUCAGGUCUUUUCGCAAUGUCUGUGUUAGGUUACAGAGCAUAAAUCAAACUCCCAUCUCUUUUUACACCCAUAACCAUAACGUAUGGCUUUUAUUAGGAAAUGUUAAGUGUCUUAUAAUGUCUUCUUAAUGGACAGUGUGUGCAUGUGUUGAUGAGGAAAGCCAUCUUCCUUCAUGCAAAAUGUUAAUGCAUGUGGCCUACGUCUCCAUAGAUACAAGUUAAAGAAUCAUAUUUAACUCAAGAAAUAUUCAGUGUACUCAUAUUUAUCUGGUUUUAACAAUCCUUUAAGGAAAAACAAGUUAGAAGUAAAUUAGAAGUUGAAUUCUAACAGGUAUGCACAAGUGAUUGUGAAUAAAUGGUACAUCAUCCACUCACCCCCCCCUCCCCCAACAAACCCAAAUCAUUUUAUAAAACACCUAUUGCUAAAUGGAAAUACCCUUAGAGAAUUUAUAUCCAAGAAUUCCAGCCUGUGCAUCACAAAGACUCCUAAUACUGGUUAUAAAUUUUUGUCCUUCUCCUAAAAUAUCAUAAUGCCUCCAAACAAAAGGAUGUUUUAACCUCUGUAUCCUUUUCAUUGGGACAACAUUAUCCAUUUGGCUUUCAAACCACUUCCCAAAAUCUUGAACCAAGCACAUUACUUUCACUUGAAAUGUGUUUUACCGACAGAUUUCUGGGUACCAGAGAGAUCUGCUAUUCAGAUCGCCGGCUAACACUGGGCUUGAUUAAUGGAAGCCAAGCAUUUUGAAGGAUACCCUCCAGCCUUGUCUUUUCCUUUCCUUGUUCCCUUGGCAGAAAUCAGGGAUUUGAAAGCUGCAAUACAACAGCAUCAUCUUUUCAUCUUGUGGUAAAUAUUCUAUUAUUCCAUUAUCCUCAACGCUGUUUAAAGAAAUUUAUUUAGACUAUGUACUCCUUUGUUCAGUGAGGAAGUCUCCAAAUGGUUUGCAAACAAGAAUCUUUAGAAAUGCAGCAAGCUAUAACUCCAGGCUCUGCUCCAGCUUUCCCCAUUCAUUCAGUUUGCAGCCCUGGUGUCUGCCUGCUGGAGAUCUCUGCUCAGACCAAGUCUCUGGCAGCUGCUGUUCCAGCACCCAUUCAUACGUGGCCAACUCCCCUCUCCCUGCUCCUUGCAUUCCCACUUCUCUUUCAUCCAUCCAUCCAUCCAUCCAUCCAUCCAUCCAUCCAUCCAUCCAUCCAUCCAUCCAUCCAGUUUUCUCCCUAAUCUGAUCUCACUUCUUUGAUCCUUCUCAGGAACACUGAUCACCCUCCCCCACCAAAGCACCACUCA